rnacentral:rRNA from 1 species
GUCCCGCUGAACUUAAGCAUAUCAAUAAGCGGAGGAAAAGAAACCAACAGGGAUUGCCCUAGUAACGGCGAGUGAAGCGGCAACAGCUCAAAUUUGAAAGCUGGCUCUCGGGCCCGCAUUGUAAUUUGCAGAGGAUGCUUCUGGCGACGCGCCUUCCGAGUUCCCUGGAACGGGACGCCAUAGAGGGUGAGAGCCCCGUCCGGUCGUGCGCCUAGCCUCUGUGAAGCUCCUUCGACGAGUCGAGUAGUUUGGGAAUGCUGCUCAAAAUGGGAGGUAUACGUCUUCUAAAGCUAAAUACCGGCCAGAGACCGAUAGCGCACAAGUAGAGUGAUCGAAAGAUGAAAAGCACUUUGAAAAGAGAGUUAAAAAGUACGUGAAAUUGUUGAAAGGGAAGCGCUCAUGACCAGACUUGGGCUGGCCCGAUCAUCCGGCGUUCUCGCCGGUGCACUCGGGCCGCCCAGGCCAGCAUCAGCUUUCGCCGGGGGAUAAAGGCGGCGGGAAUGUGGCUCCCUCGGGAGUGUUAUAGCCCGCCGUGCAAUACCCUGGUGGGGGCUGAGGUUCGCGCGUAUGCACGGAUGCUGGCGUAAUGGUUAUCAGCGACCCGUCUUGAAACACGGACCAAGGAGUCGUCUUCGUAUGCGAGUGUUCGGGUGUCAAACCCCUACGCGGAAUGAAAGUGAACGCUGGUGAGAGCUUCGGCGCAUCACCGACCGAUCCUGAUGUUCUCGGACGGAUUUGAGUAAGAGCAUACGGGGCCGGACCCGAAAGAAGGUGAACUAUGCCUGUAUAGGGUGAAGCCAGAGGAAACUCUGGUGGAGGCUCGCAGCGGUUCUGACGUGCAAAUCGAUCGUCAAAUAUGGGCAUGGGGGCGAAAGACUAAUCGAACUCUAGGGGG